rnacentral:rRNA from 1 species
GACGAACGCUGGCGGCGUGCUUAACACAUGCAAGUCGAACGGAAAGGCCCUGCUUUUGUGGGGUGCUCGAGUGGCGAACGGGUGAGUAACACGUGAGUAACCUGCCCUUGACUUUGGGAUAACUUCAGGAAACUGGGGCUAAUACCGGAUAGGAGCUCCUGCUGCAUGGUGGGGGUUGGAAAGUUUCGGCGGUUGGGGAUGGACUCGCGGCUUAUCAGCUUGUUGGUGGGGUAGUGGCUUACCAAGGCUUUGACGGGUAGCCGGCCUGAGAGGGUGACCGGCCACAUGGGGACUGAGAUACGGCCCAGACUCCUACGGGAGGCAGCAGUGGGGAAUAUUGCACAAUGGGCGGAAGCCUGAUGCAGCAACGCCGCGUGCGGGAUGACGGCCUUCGGGUUGUAAACCGCUUUCGCCUGAGACGAAGCGUGAGUGACGGUAAUGGGUAAAGAAGCACCGGCUAACUACGUG